rnacentral:piRNA from 1 species
GCAGGCACAAAGUAAAGAUAAGGUU